UUUUUAUGUGAAAGGUCUAAAUUUAUUUAGCAGAAAUAGAAUGGAACACAUGAAAAGGAGAAAAAAUGUACAUUUUUUCAAGAUAAUUUUCAGACUUUGCAAACAAUUAUAUUGUAUAAGUGAAUAAAACCAAAUCAGAGUAAUAAAGAUAUGUAAUUGGGCUACAUAGAUGGAGAUUUACAAUACACUGGAAACGGAGAGAGAAAGGUGAGGACUUAGAAAAACAAACAGUUGGCAAACCAGUGCAGCAGGUGACUUCCGUGAAGCCAGAGGCACACCCUGGGGACUGCGGUGUUGCUGGAGCCGACACUGCUGUGCUGCACAUGUGGCUGCCACCAGUUUCCUCCCUCUCUGGGAAGUGGAAUUUGAAUUGCAGGUGAUGAUGGCUGAUGAACGGAG
rnacentral:lncRNA from 1 species